UGGGGAAUAUUGGACAAUGGGCGAAAGCCUGAUCCAGCAAUGCCGCGUGAGUGAUGAAGGCCUUAGGGUUGUAAAGCUCUUUUUACCAGGGAUGAUAAUGACAGUACCUGGAGAAUAAGCUCCGGCUAACUCCGUGCCAGCAGCCGCGGUAAUACGGAGGGAGCUAGCGUUGUUCGGAAUCACUGGGCGUAAAGCGCACGUAGGCGGAUAGUUAAGUCAGGGGUGAAAUCCUGGGGCUCAACCCCAGAACUGCCUUUGAUACUGGCUGUCUCGAGGUCGAGAGAGGUUGGUGGAAUUCCUAGUGUAGAGGUGAAAUUCGUAGAUAUUAGGAAGAACACCAGUGGCGAAGGCGGCCAACUGGCUCGAUACUGACGCUGAGGUGCGAAAGCGUGGGGAGCAAACAGGAUUAGAUACCCUCGUAGUCCCUGAGCGGGC
rnacentral:rRNA from 1 species